rnacentral:tRNA from 1 species
GUGUGUGGCUCAGAGGUAAAGCGCUUGCCUAGCAUGCAUGGGGCACUGGGUUCGAUCCUCAGCACUACA